rnacentral:rRNA from 1 species
AGGAUGAACGCUGGCGGCGUGCUUAACACAUGCAAGUCGAACGAUGAAGGCUGGAGCUUGCUCUGGCUGGAUUAGUGGCGAACGGGUGAGUAACACGUGAGUAACCUGCCCCAGACUCUGGGAUAAGCGCUGGAAACGGCGUCUAAUACGGGAUACGAGCUUCCACCGCAUGGUGAGGAGCUGGAAAGAAUUUCGGUCUGGGAUGGACUCGCGGCCUAGUCAGCUUGUUGGUGAGGUAAUGGCUCACCAAGGCGACGACGGGUAGCCGGCCUGAGAGGGUGACCGGCCACACGUGGGACUGAGACACGGCCAGACUCCUACGGGAGGCAGCGAGUGGGGAAUAGUUGCACGAAGUGGGCGCGAAGCCUGAUGCAGCAACGCCGCGUGAGGGACGAGGCCGUUCGGUUACGUAACGUCGUUUUAGGAGGUAAGAAGGUCGUAGGUUGUUUAGUCUACU